GACGAACGCUGGCGGCGUGCUUAACACAUGCAAGUCGAACGGAAAGGCCCUGCUUUUGUGGGGUGCUCGAGUGGCGAACGGGUGAGUAACACGUGAGUAACCUGCCCUUGACUUUGGGAUAACUUCAGGAAACUGGGGCUAAUACCGGAUAGGAGCUCCUGCUGCAUGGUGGGGGUUGGAAAGUUUCGGCGGUUGGGGAUGGACUCGCGGCUUAUCAGCUUGUUGGUGGGGUAGUGGCUUACCAAGGCUUUGACGGGUAGCCGGCCUGGGAGGGUGACCGGCCACAUUGGGACUGAGAUACGGCCCAGACUCCUACGGGAGGCAGCAGUGGGGAAUAUUGCACAAUGGGCGGAAGCCUGAUGCAGCGACGCCGCGUGCGGGAUGAAGGCCUUCGGGUUGUAAACCGCUUUCGCCUGUGACGAAGCGUGAGUGACGGUAAUGGGUAAAGAAGCACCGGCUAACUACGUG
rnacentral:rRNA from 1 species